GCAGCCGCGGUAAUACGGAAGAUGCGAGCGUUAUCCGGAUUUAUUGGGUUUAAAGGGAGCGUAGGCGGGCUGUUAAGUCAGCGGUCAAAUGUCAGGGCCCAACCUUGGCAUGCCGUUGAUACUGGCGGCCUUGAGUUCACACAAGGAAGGUGGAAUUCGUCGUGUAGCGGUGAAAUGCUUAGAUAUGACGAAGAACUCCGAUUGCGAAGGCAGCCUUCUGGGGUGUUACUGACGCUGAGGCUCGAAAGUGCGGGAAUCAAACAGGAUUAGAUACCCC
rnacentral:rRNA from 1 species